AUUAAAAUGCUGUACCUGUACGGGGUGACGUAAUUGGUCCUGUGACGCGCAUCUUUCGACUCGCCGAUCAGGUUUCAGCAUCGUCCCUGCGCCUUCGGAUGAUGAGACGCGUUUAAGUUUGGAACACGACCAAGCCUGGAAAGGACAACAGUCGCCAAUUAGUCACAGAAGAGUCGACGAGUAUACACGAUGGCCGGUCGCUUUCUUGCGAGAUAACGACAAGUUGAACGACACAGAAGCGCGGCGAGACCGGAUGUCGUCUCGCUCGCUUUGUUUCCUCUUGGGCGGGCAGAUCGAGGGAAAAGACAGGCGAGGACAUUGUCUGACGCGUAGCAAUGUCAAGGCCCGUCACUGACAUCUACCAGGGUGUUUUCUACGCGAGAGGAAACGCGGUGAAACAAGCGUACUAAUAAUAGAGAAUGCGAGAUCGAUCGGUUCAUCCGCGCGUGAAAAACGAUCAUUUUCGAUGAACGACGUGUCUUUGCACGAUAAUACAUCUGACUGCUCGACGCUUGAUUUGUUUCAUCGAGUUAUCUAUUGCGAUUACGCGAUCCGAUCAAAUUGAAUUAGAGGUUAGGUCGACGCCAUUAGGCGAAAGCGAACGUGUCACGCGAAUGAUUCGUAAAGAUCGUAAGGAAAUUGUUAGAAGUUUUUGCAAUGUUUGGAAACUAGAAUAGAAUGGAAUUGUAUGUAAAUUAGAAUUGUUUCCAUUUAAAAUAACGUGAUCAUAUCAUUAAAGUAUGAUUUUUGGAUACCUUCUUGAUUUGAAAAUAGUUGGAGAUGCAUUGAAAUUGGAUUAAUGGAGGAAUUUUGAUAAUAGUUGAAAUUAAAUGUUAAAAUUGACAAAGGAUUUGAGAAUAGUUGGAAUAUUGAAGAUCGACACAAAUAAAUAUAGUUGAAACGGAUUGGUCGCGCAUGCAGUUGAGCAAAAAAUCAAAUAAGAACCUUUCCCUGUAUUGUUCAGCCUGUAAGAAUUUCCAUGGGUUGAACCGAGCGAACCUUUCAAGAAGAGGUAUAUUCUCAGUUCGACCAAAAAUAUCCUAAUAUUUGAACAGUGAUAUCAUCGAUUGCAAAUAAUUACUGAAACACCGACAAACGAUGCAACGGAUACCAUUGUAUACUACACAUGUUUGUAUUUUAAUUUAAAGCGUUUUAUCCGGAUGAUGAAGAUGGAUCGAUUAUUUCUUGCACAAUUCAUAUGAGUAAAAACUAUCGUAUGCGACAAUCAAGAUCAAAUUAAUAAUUCUAUUUAAAAAAAUUUCAUAAGAAAGUCAAAGUUGAAAAUUCCAGAAUUGAAAAGAUCGCAAGAAUUCUGUAUAUUCAUGAUAUUUCUUAAGUAAGUAGUAAUCAAUUAGAAAUAUAUACGUACUUUUCCUUGUUAGAUCAGUCUCGAAUUACAUAAUAUCUAUAAUUGGCUAAUAAAAAAUAUUCUAUGCAUCCGCAUU